UGGUCAUUACAAAGGCUUUUUACAAUGCAGUUUCUGACUUGCUGUGGACAUGACCAUAAAAAAUUUCCCAGGUUUUGGGUCCUCUUGCUACCUUGCUAGCAUACAACCAAUUGGUGACAUCA
ensembl:snoRNA